CCAAAAACAGCAAAAAAACUCAAUUCAGCAGCAGCAAAUUUCCUUCCAAGUUGAAAACCCUUCCCAGGAGUGCCCUCCUCCUCCCAGGGUGCUGCUGCCCAGUUCCCACCUGUAUUUGGAUUUCCCAGGGCCAAAACUCCUCCCAAACUCAGAGCUGGCCCCAGCAGCCCUGACCAAACCUUGGAGGGAGAGAAAAGGGCUGGAAUGCUGCACUGUGGGAAAGGGUAAAGGCGCUGCGUCCUCGCAAAACCCUUCCAAGGUGAAAAGCAUCACCUGUAAAACACCGUGAGAGGUUCAGCUUUAUUAAUUCAGCAAUUCUCAUUGGACCCUUAUAACAUCACCUUUUGCAAAGAGAAAACACUUGAGCGCGUCUGACUCGUUCUGUGGCAGCACCAGGCUCAGCUUAGCUGAUCAGGGAAGUGGGAAGAGUAAACCAGUUCUGCGAGGUUGGGUCGCUGUAUUUUCAUUUCCCUCCCUGAGCUGGUACCAGAGGGG